GUGAGGCCUUCUGACUGGCGCCGCUACUCUGGCAACAGAGCGGCGGAUGUCGGGAAGUUGGUCAAACUUGAUCAUUUAGAGGAAGUAAAAGUCGUAACAAGGUUUCCGUAGGUGAACCUGCGGAAGGAUCAUUACCGAUAAAGGAAAAAAAAGGUGAAACCUUUGUGAACCGUACACAAUCUUUAGGGGUCGGCCUUGGUGCCGUUAAAUGGUCGUUCGUCCGUUGAUUCGGCGUUCGGCCAGCCCCGCCUUCGUCCACGCACUUGAAUGUACCUCAGGGCUGAAACCUUGCUGCCUGUCCUGCCAGGACAGGUAGUAGUGCAAACUGUAAAGAGAGAGACAACUUUUAACGGUGGAUCUCUUGGCUCACGUAUCGAUGAAGAACGCAGCCAGCUGCGAUAAGUAGUGUGAAUUGCAGAAUUCAGUGAAUCAUUGAAUCUUUGAACGCAAAUGGCGCUCUUGGGUUCUCCCAGGAGCAUGUCUGUCUGAGUGUCGGAUAUUAUCUAGCGCACUAGCUCGAUUGUGCGGAAUUGAGGCGUCACGGCGUCACAACGCAAGUCGCCGUGUCCCUUGAAGGAAAGCGUGCUAGACUCGCAUCGUGCGGUUACAAACCCGCACUCCACAUGCGAAGGCUAAAACUACUUUGUCCUUCGUCGGGGUGCAGGUCCGCCA
rnacentral:misc_RNA from 1 species